GACUCUCGGCAACGGAUAUCUCGGCUCACGCAUCGAUGAAGAACGUAGCAAAAUGCGAUACUUGGUGUGAAUUGCAGAAUCCCGUGAACCAUCGAGUUUUUGAACGCAAGUUGCGCCCAAAGCCAUCCGGUUGAGGGCACGCCUGCCUGGGCGUCACGC
rnacentral:rRNA from 3 species